rnacentral:rRNA from 1 species
CACGGCGCACGGGUGCGUAACACGUGGGUAAUCUGCCCUUCGAUGGGGAAUAACUCGCCGAAAGGCGAGCUAAUUCCGCAUAACAUUCCGAGAACUUCGGUUUUUGGAUUCAAAGGCGUAAGUCGUCGGAGGAGGAGCCCGCGCACGAUUAGCUAGUUGGUGAGGUAACGGCUCACCAAGGCUAUGAUCGUUAGCUGGUCUGAGAGGAUGGCCAGCCACACUGGAACUGAGACACGGUCCAGACUCCUACGGGAGGCAGCAGUGGGGAAUCUUGCACAAUGGGCGAAAGCCUGAUGCAGCGACGCCGCGUGGGGGAUGAAGCUUCUCGGAGUGUAAACCCCUUUCGACCCGGACGAAUGCCCCGCAAGGGGACUGACGGUACGGGUAUAAGAAGCCCCGGCUAACUACGUGCCAGCAGCCGCGGUAAGACGUAGGGGGCCAGCGUUGCUCGGAAUUACUGGGUGUAAAGGGUUCGUAGGCGGUGUGGCAAGUCGGGAGUGAAAUCUCUGGGCUCAACCCAGAGUCUGCUUCCGAAACUGCUGUGCUUGAGUGUGGGAGAGGCGCGUGGAAUUGCAGGUGUAGCGGCGAAAUGCGUAGAUAUCUGCAGGAACACCCGUGGCGAAAGCGGCGCGCUGGACCACUAC